AUUGAACGCUGGCGGCAUGCCUUACACAUGCAAGUCGAACGGCAGCACGGGUGCUUGCACCUGGUGGCGAGUGGCGAACGGGUGAGUAAUACAUCGGAACAUGUCCUGUAGUGGGGGAUAGCCCGGCGAAAGCCGGAUUAAUACCGCAUACGAUCUACGGAUGAAAGCGGGGGACCUUCGGGCCUCGCGCUAUAGGGUUGGCCGAUGGCUGAUUAGCUAGUUGGUGGGGUAAAGGCCUACCAAGGCGACGAUCAGUAGCUGGUCUGAGAGGACGACCAGCCACACUGGGACUGAGACACGGCCCAGACUCCUACGGGAGGCAGCAGUGGGGAAUUUUGGACAAUGGGCGAAAGCCUGAUCCAGCAAUGCCGCGUGUGUGAAGAAGGCCUUCGGGUUGUACAGCACUUUUGUCCGGAAAGAAAUCCUUGGCCCUAAUACGGUCGGGGGAUGACGGUACCGGAAGAAUAAGCACCGGCUAACUACGUG
rnacentral:rRNA from 1 species